GCUGGCUCCAGUUGUACAGCUAGCAGGAUUACAGUUAGCAGGAGCGCCGCUGCCAGGAGCAGGAGCCCCAUUAGUGCCUGCUGGAGCUCCGUUAGCCCCAGCUCCAGCUCCAGCUCCGGCUCCAGCCGCUGCAACCCCACCUGCCAAACCCAUUGGAGGAGACCUGGACUCAUCCCUAGCUAACCUGGUUGGAAAUUUGGGAGUUGCAACCCAGAAGAAGGACCAGCAGUGGAGUGAGAAGAAGCUAACAGGCGGGGCAAACUGGACCCCGCAGGUUGCCCCUUCUAUUUGGGGAGCCCCUGCUGCUCAGAUGGUAAGAGAACAAUUCAGUCCGUCGUCACCCAUAGAGCAGCUCUUGCCUCUCUGUCGGCCUGAGCCUGAUGAUGGGCCAGAGGUUCCUGUGGGGGAAUACACCCUGCCUGGCCCUGGAGUGGAUUAGAAGGACACAGGCUUCAGUUGCAAUGAGAACUGACCUUUUACUGA